rnacentral:rRNA from 1 species
ACUAGAGUAGCACUCGCAUAUCAAUAAGCGGAGGAAAAGAAACUAACAAGGAUUCCCCUAGUAACGGCGAGUGAAGCGGGAAGAGCACAAAUUUGAAAUCUUAAAGGGUUUCCCUUUACGAAUUGUAGUUUAAAGAAGUGUUUUCUGUUGAGGUCUUGGUAAAAGUUCUUUGGAAUAGGACAUCAUAGAGGGUGAGAAUCCCGUAUUUGACCUUUACUUUCAACUUUGUGAUACACUUUCAAAGAGUCGGAUUGUCUGGGAAUGCAGUCCAAAAUGGGUGGUAAAUUUCAUCUAAAGCUAAAUAUUGGCGAGAGACCGAUAGCGAACAAGUACCGUGAGGGAAAGAUGAAAAGAACUUUGAAAAGAGAGUUAAACAGUACGUGAAAUUGUCAAAAGGGAAGCGUUUGACACCAGUGUUGUUGUUCUGAAAAUCAAUUAAAGAACUGUUUAUGCUAAGCUGUUUAGACUUUAUCAGCUAUCUGUUUAGUUUUGAGCUUUUCUUUAAUGCACUUUUCAGUUAACAAGUCAACAUCAAUUUCUUUUGCUGUAAAAAAGCUUGAGGAAGGUGGCUUGAGAUUCGUCUUAAGUGUUUAUAGCCUCUUGCCUAUGCAGUCGGAGAGAUUGAGGUCUGCAGCGUAGAUCCUUCGGGGCUAAAUGCAUUUGUGCUAAGUUAUAGCAUUUUAUAGACAACUUGUUGACUAUGAUUUGUCUUGUAGCUUACUCGCUUAUGUUAUUUUACCUACGCUUAGGAUGUUGAGCGCAUGUCUCUCUCU